AGAGUUUGAUCCUGGCUCAGAACGAACGCUGGCGGCGUGGAUAAGACAUGCAAGUCGAACGAGAUUUUCUUUGGUAGCAAUACUGAAGAAAGUCUAGUGGCGAACGGGUGCGUAACACGUGGGCAAUCUGCCUUAAAGUGGGGGAUAGCUCGGCGAAAGCCGAAUUAAUACCGCAUGUGAUCAGGGGAGACAUCUUCCCGAAAUCAAAAGUGGCGCAAGCUACUGCUUUUUGAGGAGCCCGCGGCCUAUCAGCUAGUUGGUGAGGUAAUGGCUCACCAAGGCUCUGACGGGUAGCUGGUCUGAGAGGACGACCAGUCACACUGGAACUGAGACACGGUCCAGACACCUACGGGUGGCAGCAGUCGAGAAUUUUUCUCAAUGGGGGAAACCCUGAAGGAGCGACGCCGCGUGGAGGAUGAAGGUCUUCGGGUUGUAAACUCCUGUCAUUUGGGAACAAGUUGGACGCCGUAACUGCGCGUCCAUUGAUAGUACCAGAAGAGGAAGGGACGGCUAACUCUGUGCCAGCAGCCGCGGUAAUACAGAGGUCUCAAGCGUUGUUCGGAUUCAUUGGGCGUAAAGGGUGUGUAGGUGGCGCGCUAAGUCGGGUGUGAAAUUUCGGAGCUUAACUCCGAAACUGCAUUCGAUACUGGCGUGCUUGAGGACUGGAGAGGAGACUGGAAUUCAUGGUGUAGCAGUGAAAUGCGUAGAGAUCAUGAGGAAGACCAGUGGCGAAGGCGGGUCUCUGGACAGUUCCUGACACUGAGACACGAAGGCCAGGGGAGCAAACGGGAUUAGAUACCCUAGUAGUCC
rnacentral:rRNA from 1 species